rnacentral:rRNA from 1 species
AGAACGAACGCUGGCGGCAGGCUUAACACAUGCAAGUCGAACGGUUGUAGCAAUACAGCAGUGGCAGAUGGGUGAGUAACACGUGGGAACCUUCCUAGGGGUACGGAACAACUCAGGGAAACUUGAGCUAAUACCGUAUACGUCCGUGAGGAGAAAGAUUUAUCGCCCCUAGACGGGCCCGCGUAGGAUUAGGUAGUUGGUGAGGUAACGGCUCACCAAGCCUACGAUCCUUAGCUGAUCUGAGAGGAUGAUCAGCCACACUGGGACUGAGACACGGCCCAGACUCCUACGGGAGGCAGCAGUGGGGAAUCUUGGACAAUGGGCGCAAGCCUGAUCCAGCCAUGCGCGUGAGUGAAGAAGGCCUUACGGGUUGUAAAGCUCUUUUAACCAGGGACGAUAAUGACGUACCUGGAGAAUAAGCCCGGACAACUUCGUGCCAGCAGCCG